rnacentral:rRNA from 1 species
AAGCGGUGGAGUAUGUGGUUUAAUUCGAUGCAACGCGAAGAACCUUACCUGGUCUUGACAUCCCGGAGACCCUUAGGAAACUAGGGGGUGCUUCCAUCUGGAAGAAUCUGGAGACAGGUGCUGCAUGGCUGUCGUCAGCUCGUGUCGUGAGACGUUGGGUUAAGUCCCGCAACGAGCGCAACCCUUGCCUUUAGUUGCCAGCAGUUCGGCUGGGCACUCUAAAGGGACUGCUGGUGUUAAACCGGAGAAGGGGUGGGAUGACGUCAAGUCCUCAUGGCCUUUAUGACCAGGGCUGCACACGUACUACAAUGGCCGAUACAAAGGGCAGCGACACUGCGAGGUGAAGCCAAUCCCGUAAAAUCGGUCUCAGUCCGGAUUGGAGUCUGCAACUCGACUCCAUGAAGUUGGAAUCGCUAGUAAUCGUGGAUCAGCAUGCCACGGUGAAUACGUUCCCGGGCCUU